AGUGAACGCUGGCGGUAGGCCUAACACAUGCAAGUCGAACGGCAGCACAGUAAGAGCUUGCUCUUACGGGUGGCGAGUGGCGGACGGGUGAGGAAUACAUCGGAAUCUACUUUUUCGUGGGGGAUAACGUAGGGAAACUUACGCUCAUACCGCAUACGACCUACGGGUGAAAGCAGGGGAUCUUCGGACCUUGCGCGAUUGAAUGAGCCGAUGUCGGAUUAGCUAGUUGGCGGGGUAAAGGCCCACCAAGGCGACGAUCCGUAGCUGGUCUGAGAGGAUGAUCAGCCACACUGGAACUGAGACACGGUCCAGACUCCUACGGGAGGCAGCAGUGGGGAAUAUUGGACAAUGGGCGCAAGCCUGAUCCAGCCAUACCGCGUGGGUGAAGAAGGCCUUCGGGUUGUAAAGCCCUUUUGUUGGGAAAGAAAAGCAGCAGGUUAAUACCCCGCUGUUCUGACGGUACCAAAAGAAUAAGCACCGGCUAACUUCGUG
rnacentral:rRNA from 1 species